AGCAUACUCUUCUGUGAGGACAUUUCAGCCUGAUGCAUAACCCCAACUAAUCGACAGCAGCCUGGUGCACACUGGUGUCCUCUGCGUCUAGAGGCCGAUGUUCCUCAUGUUCCGCCGCAAGAGGACCUUUCAGACCAUUUUCUUUGCCGGAGCAUCUGUGGGCGCUAUGUGCUUCGUAGCCGAGACCCUCGGACUCCAGCUCCAUCUGGGCUUUCUCCACCACAGCAGGGUGCCGCAGGAGUUGAAGAAUAAGCGAAGUGGAGGCACUGGCUGUAGUUGAGUGAGCAGCAAAUAUUAACUCCACCGCGGUUUCCUAGACACCAGAAACAGAACACAAUUAACAUUUAAUUUAAGCUUUAAUAUUGGACAUUUGUUUUGGUCGUCCAAAGUAAAUAAAUGGUCAAUUCACCUUAGUAGGCUAUAAACUUCCAAAUAAGUCUGACUAUACAAUUGCAAAUGUGGGAUUGUAUAUGCAUAUGACCAAAGCAGAAUGGUUAAACAGAAAAAUACAAUCAUUUACCUUCAACUCCUGCAUGCUGAGUUCAUUUCCAUUUUCCUUGGCACUGAUCAACAUGUAAUCGAAAGCAUCAUAGUACUCAUCAGACUGUUGUUUCUGCAUUUUCUCCUCUAUGAUUUUCUCCAUGCACGCAUGUAGGAUUUCCCGGGCUUCUAUUCCCUGAGAAGAAAAACCAUACAUCAGAGUGGCGUCUAAUGGAUGUUUAGCUGCCUUGAUGGGAUAUUUCCAUUCAGUGCAUGAAAAUAUAUUAUAUUUACUAUUUUCCAUUCUAAUAACAUAUUGGGAGUUAAUGUGAUGUGCAAGUUUUUUGUUACCAUUGCAAGUUAGAAAAAUAGUUUUGUUAUCAUGCCACACCAUACAAUAUGAAUUAGGCUACAAUAGUUUUGUUUUUUUAAACAUGUAAAGAAAUGUUCAUAAAUAAACGUAUUAUCGUUUCAGGGUUA